rnacentral:misc_RNA from 1 species
UCCGGUUUGGCACCGGCAGUCCUCCCAGAGUCCUCGGCAUGACCCGGUAGCAACUGGGAGCGGGGGUUGCGCUCGUUGCGGGACUUAACCCAACAUCUCACGACACGAGCUGACGACAGCCAUGCAGCACCUGUGCACGAGUCCCGAAGGAGGCCCUCGGUUUCUCGAGGGUUUCUCGUGUAUGUCAAGCCUAGGUAAGGUUCUUCGCGUUGCGUCGAAUUAAACCACAUACUCCACCGCUUGUGCGGGCCCCCGUCAAUUCUUUUGAGUUUCAGUCUUGCGACCGUACUCCCCAGGCGGACAACUUAACGCGUUAGCUGCGACACUGGGAGGCUUACCCUCUCAACGUCUAGUUCUCAUCGUUUAUGGCGUGGACUAC